AUGGAGUCUCCCUCUGUUGCCCAGGCUGGAGUAUAGUGGAACGAUCUUGGCUCACUGCAACCACCGCCUCCUGGGUUCAAGUGAUUCUUCUGGCUCAGCCUCCUGAGUAGCUGGGACUACAGGAUUUACAGUGAAUAUGUGCUCUUACACAACGAACAAUAGAUAAACAAAAGAGAGACUCGGAAUCUUAGAGGACUUCCUGGACCUGAGGCUAAUUAGAAGUCAACAUACUGGAUUAGCAUCCAAGAUGGAGUUGCUUUGGCUGCCACAGAAGUCUAAGGAUGUUACUACCUUCAGAUGCUGUAAGCCUGUGAAGGACGAAAGUGUUUGGGGGAGAUCGUAUUGAUUGUCCUCAUGUGGGGAGUGGAGAGAGGAGUUCCUUCAAGAGCCUGACAUGGAAGGAUCAACGCCAUUAGACCUGAAAGGACCUGCAGCCUGGGAGGACGGGUGACCAAGCAGUCACUAGGUGGGCCACUGACAGAAGACUGCAGGUGUUGCCCAGAGUGACAUCACUGCAAAGAGACUGGGGACUUGACAUCCCCCAGGAUGUGUGUCGGGGGACAGGGGGAUGCUUUACAUUUCUCUCCAACCUAGCAGAAUGGGGGCUCAGAAUUGGUUUUAGUUGGUUAUAAACUAAUGUCCUUCCUCUUGCAAAUCUGCAUCGUGGGCUAAAACUGAUAACCUCUGUAUGAGUCAGCAUCCUGGCAGGAUAAAGAUGGCACACUCCGGGCAAUUGAGGAUAGCUUAAUAAAGGGCUAUUUAUAAAGGUGUGGAUAGCAUUUAGGGCAACCGAGACGAGCAGCAAAAGUAGCCAUUGCUGCCCUACGCCUGAAGCAGGAAAAGAAGAGGACAAGCACCAAAAGCCAGACUGGUCAGUCCUACAGAGACAGUUGCCUAACAAGAGCCUCUGAUGCAGCCAGUCCCAAUCCCUGUCCCUUAUCCUCUGAUCUCCUCUUGCCUGGCCCCUGACUAGCUACACCCAACAGAGAGCCAAAGGGAAAGGGAGCUCCCCUGAGGUCAUCGAUGCAGAUGCGCCUCCCUGGGCAAAGAUGGGGAAGAAAAUGGCAGCAGUGGGGCCGGGCAUAGUGGCUUAUGCCUGUAAUCCCAGCACUUUGGGAUGCUGAGGUGGGGAGAUCACUUGAGGUCAGAAAUUCAAGACCAGCCUGACCAAUGUGACGAAACCCUAUCUCUACUAAAAGUACAAAAAUUAGCCAGGUGUGGUGGCACAUGCCUGUAAUCCCAGUACUUGGGAGUCUGAGGCAUGAGAAUCACUUGAGCCUAGGAGAUGGAGGUUUCAGUGAGCCAAGAUUGCACCACUGCACUCCAGCCUGGGUGACAGAGUAAGACUCUGUCUCAAAAAAAAAAAAAGUGACAGCAGUGUGGAUCUGGAGGGGCAGACUACCUUUAUAAAUAAAAUUACACAGUCAAAAUGAUGGGCAGUCAGGCCUUGUGGGGUCAGCCAAUCUAGCCCCAUGUCUUCCAAGCUGCCCUUGCUCUCGUAGCUGAAGUUCCAGGCAUUAUGUGAGUUAGGCCUAAUUUCAUUUUGGCACACUGCCUGCACCUACACAAUCUCAUUUAAUCUUCACAACAAGUCUGCAAGGACAGUCUUUUGUUGUUCUUUUUUUAGACAGUCUCACUUUGUUGCCCAGGCUGGAGCACAGUGGGUGUGAUCAUGGCUCACUGCAGCCUCGACCUCCUGGGCUCAAGAGAUCUUCCUGCCUCAGCCUCCUGAACAGCUGGGACUACAAGCAAGCACAACCAUGCCUGGCUAACUUUUGCACUUCCCUUUAGGGAUAGGGUCUUACUAUGUUGCCCAAGCUGGUCUUGAACUCCUGGGCUCAAGCAAUUCUACCGCCCCGGCCUCCCAAGGUUCUGGGAUUACAGGCCUGAGCCAUUACACCCAGCCACAGUAUUAUUUUUUUCCCAUUUUAUGAAUAAGGAAAUCGAGACCUAGAGAGUUUAUAGAGGCUGAGGUCGCAGAGCUGGUAGCUGGCUGAGACAAGAUUCAAACAUAGUUCUGCCUGAUUCCAAAGCCAUUUUCAUCAACCUUCUAAACUGGCUCCAAGCCGGCCCAGCACAGACAGGUGGGAGGCGCAGGGAUUUUCUGUGUGGGAAAAUCACAUCAACACAGCGCCUGGGCUUCUCUGCCUAGAAGGGCUUUGCCAAGGAAGCUCUUCUCUCUCCCAGGUAGAGCUAAUGGUUGGAAAUCCAAGCUCUUAUCCCUGAAUCAAAGAGGGAGAAGAUGGAGAGAAAACACUUGGUCAAUGCUGGGAAAAAAAGUCUAUUUUCAUUUCAGAUGCCUUUCAAGUUCCUUUUUUCCCAACUGAAUGUUUGGUGUAUUUAUAGAAUUCAGGGGGAGUAUUUAAGGGUAACCGGCAGUGGAGCUGCAUUUUUGGGCCAUCAGGAAGCUGGGAAUCAUGCAGGAGAAGAUCAGUGGGAGGGGACAAGAGCAGCAGGGCACAAACUGGCUUUGCCCUUCGUGUUGCUAAGACCCUCUCAUCCUCCUGCGGCUGAUGAUGUCAAAUCGAGGUCUAUGACAGCGCUGCAGAUGAAAACGAUUGACUCAAAAUGAUGGGCAAAUGGGUGAAUAAAUAAACAAAUUGUGAUAUAUACAUACAGUAGAAUAUUAUUCAGCCAUAAAAAGAAAUGAAGUACUGGUCUAUGCUAUAGCAUAUAUGAACCUCAGAAACAUAGUGCUGAGCAAAAUAAGCCAGAUGCAAGAGGCCACUCGUUGUAUGAUUCCUGUUAUAUGAAAUACUCAGAAUAGGCAAAUCCCUAGAGACAGAAUGUAGACUGGUGGUUGCCAGGGGCCGGGCAGAGGGGAGAAUGCAAAGCAAGUGCUUAAUGGGUACAGAAUUUCCUUUUGAGGCCAGGCGCAGGGGCUCACUCCUGUAAUCCCAGCACUUUGGGAGGCUGAGGAGGGUGGAUCACUUGAGGUCAGGAGUUCAAAACCAGCCUGGCCAACAUGGCGAAACCCUGUCUGUACUAAAAAUACAAAUAUAUAUAUAUACAUACAUGUAUGUGUGUAUAUAUAUAUAUGUAUAUGUAUGUAUAUAUGUAUAUGUAUAUAUAACCAUCAGAUCUCGAUUAAAAAAAAAAUAACAAACAAUAGCUGGGUGUGGUGUUACAGGCCUGUAAUCCCAGCUACUUGGAGGCUGAGGCAGGAGAAUCACUUGAACCUGGGAGGUGGAAGUUGCAGUGAGCCCAGAUGGUACCACUGCACUCCAGCCUGGGUGACAGGGCAAGAUUCUGUCUCCAAAAAAGAAAGAGAAUUUCCUUUUGAAGUGGUUAAAAUAUUCUGGAAAUACAUGGAGGUGGU